AUGGGCGAAAGCCUGAUGCAGCGACGCCGCGUGAGGGAUGACGGCCUUCGGGUUGUAAACCUCUUUCAGCAGGGAAGAAGCGAAAGUGACGGUACCUGCAGAAGAAGCACCGGCUAACUACGUGCCAGCAGCCGCGGUAAUACGUAGGGUGCGAGCGUUAUCCGGAAUUAUUGGGCGUAAAGAGCUCGUAGGCGGUUUGUCACGUCUGUCGUGAAAGUCCGGGGCUUAACCCCGGAUCUGCGGUGGGUACGGGCAGACUAGAGUGCAGUAGGGGAGACUGGAAUUCCUGGUGUAGCGGUGGAAUGCGCAGAUAUCAGGAGGAACACCGAUGGCGAAGGCAGGUCUCUGGGCUGUAACUGACGCUGAGGAGCGAAAGCAUGGGGAGCGAACAGGAUUAGAUACCCUGGUAGUCCAUGCCGUAAACGUUGGGCACUAGGUAUGGGGACCAUUCCACGGUUUCCGCGCCGCAGCUAACGCAUUAAGUGCCCCGCCUGGGGA
rnacentral:rRNA from 1 species